CAAACGUCAAUAAACUAGUUGUUGAGGAAAUUGAAUCACAUCAAAACAUUUGGAAGGAAGACAGUACGUCACAGCUGCGCCUCGGUUCCACCCUUUAAGAGGAGGGACAGUGACGUCAUAUUUCGCGCCCACUCUGGAUGACGCUCAAGCACAAUAGCUCAGUCGCUCCAGUAACGUUUCAGUAGCGGACAGUAAAGGUUACCUGCUUCAACAGUGCUUGAACGGCAACCUUAACUGUCUCUAUUUCGUCACUAAGACCGAAAGAACAAGAUUUGAUUUAGAAAAAAGAAAAAGCCUUCAGUGGUCGUGGUUAAACUUGAUCUAAAUCGCUUUCUCUCGCAAGCUAACCUGUUCGGGUUGUUGACUACGCACGUCUUUUGAACCAAUUCGACCUUUUCGCAAACAAAGGCCGCUCUGAAUCAAGAACAAUGAGUUCCCAGGUGAGACAAAACUUCCAUCAGGACUGCGAGGCUGCAAUCAACAGGCAGAUCAACCUGGAGCUGUAUGCU